rnacentral:rRNA from 1 species
UACGAAGGGGGCUAGCGUUGCUCGGAAUGACUGGGCGUAAAGGGCGCGUAGGCGGCUCAUACAGUCAGAUGUGAAAUUCCUGGGCUUAACCUGGGGGCUGCAUUUGAUACGUGUGGGCUUGAGUGGGGAAGAGGGUCGUGGAAUUCCCAGUGUAGAGGUGAAAUUCGUAGAUAUUGGGAAGAACACCGGUGGCGAAGGCGGCGACCUGGUCCGAUACUGACGCUGAGGCGCGAAAGCGUGGGGAGCAAACAGG